AAUUGUUAGUGGCAGACGGGUGAGUAAUGCGUAGGAAUCUACCUAGUAGUACGGAAUAGCCAUUAGAAAUGGUGGGUAAUACUGUAUAAUCCCCGAGGGGGAAAGAUUUAUCGCUAUUAGAUGAGCCUACGUUAGAUUAGCUAGUUGGUGAGGUAAUGGCUUACCAAGGCUAUGAUCUAUAGCUGGUCUGAGAGGACGAUCAGCCACACUGGAACUGAGAUACGGUCCAGACUCCUACGGGAGGCAGCAGUGGGGAAUAUUGGACAAUGGGCGAAAGCCUGAUCCAGCUAUGCCGCGUGAGUGAAGAAGGCCUUCGGGUUGUAAAACUCUUUCAAUAGGGAAGAUAAUGACGGUACCU
rnacentral:rRNA from 1 species